rnacentral:rRNA from 1 species
GAUGAACGCUGGCGGCGUGCCUAAUACAUGCAAGUCGAGCGAACAGACGAGGAGCUUGCUCCUCUGACGUUAGCGGCGGACGGGUGAGUAACACGUGGAUAACCUACCUAUAAGACUGGGAUAACUUCGGGAAACCGGAGCUAAUACCGGAUAAUAUAUUGAACCGCAUGGUUCAAUAGUGAAAGACGGUUUUGCUGUCGCUUAUAGAUGGAUCCGCGCCGCAUUAGCUAGUUGGUAAGGUAACGGCUUACCAAGGCAACGAUGCGUAGCCGACCUGAGAGGGUGAUCGGCCACACUGGAACUGAGACACGGUCCAGACUCCUACGGGAGGCAGCAGUAGGGAAUCUUCCGCAAUGGGCGAAAGCCUGACGGAGCAACGCCGCGUGAGUGAAGAAGGUCUUCGGAUCGUAAAACUCUGUUAUUAGGGAAGAACAAAUGUGUAAGUAACUAUGCACGUCUUGACGGUACCUAAUCAGAAAGCCACGGCUAACUACGUG